rnacentral:rRNA from 1 species
UACGUAGGGUGCAAGCGUUAAUCGGAAUUACUGGGCGUAAAGCGUGCGCAGGCGGUUCCGCAAGCCAGAUGUGAAAUCCCCGGGCUUAACCUGGGAACUGCAUUUGAAACUAUGGAGCUAGAGUGUGUCAGAGGGGGGUAGAAUUCCACGUGUAGCAGUGAAAUGCGUAGAGAUGUGGAGGAAUACCGAUGGCGAAGGCAGCCCCCUGGGAUAACACUGACGCUCAUGCACGAAAGCGUGGGGAGCAAACAGG